rnacentral:rRNA from 1 species
UACGUAGGGUCCGAGCGUUGUCCGGAAUUAUUGGGCGUAAAGGGCUCGUAGGUGGUUUGUCGCGUCGGGAGUGAAAACAGCGGGCUUAACUCGUUGCUUGCUUCCGAUACGGGCAGACUAGAGGUAUGCAGGGGAGAAUGGAAUUCCUGGUGUAGCGGUGAAAUGCGCAGAUAUCAGGAGGAACACCGGUGGCGAAGGCGGUUCUCUGGGCAUUACCUGACGCUGAGGAGCGAAAGUGUGGGGAGCGAACAGG